UACGUAGGGUGCAAGCGUUGUCCGGAAUUAUUGGGCGUAAAGAGCUCGUAGGCGGUUUGUUGCGUCGGCUGUGAAAUCCCGAGGCUCAACCUCGGGUCUGCAGUCGAUACGAGCAAACUAGAGUGUUGCAGGGGAGACUGGAAUUCCUGGUGUAGCGGUGAAAUGCGCAGAUAUCAGGAGGAACACCGAUGGCGAAGGCAGGUCUCUGGGCAUUAAACUGACGCUGGAGGAGCGAAAGCCUAGGGGAGCAAACGGG
rnacentral:rRNA from 1 species